rnacentral:rRNA from 1 species
GAUGAACGCUGGCGGCGUGCUUAACACAUGCAAGUCGAACGAAGCAUUUAGGACAGAUUACUUCGGUUUGAAGUUCUUUAUGACUGAGUGGCGGACGGGUGAGUAACGCGUGGGUAACCUGCCUUGUACUGGGGGAUAGCAGCUGGAAACGGCUGGUAAUACCGCAUAAGCGCACAAUGUUGCAUGACAUGGUGGGAAAAACUCCGGUGGUAUAAGAUGGACCCGCGUCUGAUUAGCUAGUUGGUGAGAUAACAGCCCACCAAGGCGACGAUCAGUAGCCGACCUGAGAGGGUGACCGGCCACAUUGGGACUGAGACACGGCCCAGACUCCUACGGGAGGCAGCAGUGGGGAAUAUUGCACAAUGGAGGAAACUCUGAUGCAGCGACGCCGCGUGAGUGAAGAAGUAAUUCGUUAUGUAAAGCUCUAUCAGCAGGGAAGAUAGUGACGGUACCUGACUAAGAAGCUCCGGCUAAAUACGUG